UUUAUCGGGCUUCCUAGGGUUUGUAAACCCUAGCACAAGACAACAUAUGGAAUUCAUCUUUCUUAUUUUAUUGCUUUCACUGCUUGGAGAAGGGUUGCCGCUAUGCUGCUAGGGUUUGAUACUUGAAGAACUCCACUGCGGAUGCCAUUCUGAUUAUUUGCAGAGUUCUUGACAGAGAAUGAGAGAUUUUGACUUUUCGGAUUUUCGGCCGUACAGCCUCUGCAUCAUCUCGUACAACAAUUUUCACAGGCUGAAACAAUAAUCUACAGGUGUUGUAUGAGCAGAAAUUCUCUGUCGUACGAGCAGAAAUAUUCUGUCAUACGCGCAUAAAUCCUCUGUCGUACGAGUAGAAAUCCUCUGUCGUGCGAGCAUAAAUCCUCUGUUGUACAAGUAACUGAUUUGUCAUUUUUUUUUUUACUUGUUCGGUUCUGUGAGAAUUAUCAUAUGGUCGAGUGAGAAUACUCAUCCGAGUUACUGUUUUGUCGUAUGAGAAACAGAGAGUUUUUAUUUAGGAUUUUGCUUGAAAUAAGGCUUGUGGAAGGUCAAUAUAUAUGGAAUAUAACAUUUAAGUA